AUUGGGCGUAAAGCGCGCGCAGGCGGUCUUUUAAGUCUGAUGUGAAAGCCCACGGCUUAACCGUGGAGGGUCAUUGGAAACUGGAGGACUUGAGUACAGAAGAGGAGAGUGGAAUUCCACGUGUAGCGGUGAAAUGCGUAGAGAUGUGGAGGAACACCAGUGGCGGAGGCGACUCUCUGGUCUGUAACUGACGCUGAGGCGCGAAAGCGUGGGUAGCGAACAGGAUUAGAUACCCUGGUAGUCCACGCCGUAAACGAUGAGUGCUAGGUGUUAGGGGGUUUCCGCCCCUUAGUGCUGAAGUUAACGCAUUAAGCACUCCGCCUGGGGAGUACGGCCGCAAGGCUGAAACUCAAAAGAAUUGACGGGGGCCCGCACAAGCGGUGGAGCAUGUGGUUUAAUUCGAAGCAACGCGAAGAACCUUACCAGGUCUUGACAUCCUCUGACACCCCUAGAGAUAGGGCUUUCCCUUCGGGGACAGAGUGACAGGUGGUGCAUGGUUGUCGUCAGCUCGUGUCGUGAGAUGUUGGGUUAAGUCCCGCAACGAGCGCAACCCUUGAUCUUAGUUGCCAGCAUUAAGUUGGGCACUCUAAGGUGACUGCCGGUGACAAACCGGAGGAAGGUGGGGAUGACGUCAAAUCAUCAUGCCCCUUAUGACCUGGGCUACACACGUGCUACAAUGGAUGGUACAAAGGGCAGCGAAGCCGCGAGGUGAAGCAAAUCCCAUAAAACCAUUCUCAGUUCGGAUUGCAGGCUGCAACUCGCCUGCAUGAAGCCGGAAUCGCUAGUAAUC
rnacentral:rRNA from 1 species